UAGUGGCGAACGGGUGAGUAACACGUGGGCAAUCUGCCCUUCACUCUGGGACAAGCCCUGGAAACGGGGUCUAAUACCGGAUAAUACCUGCCUGGGCAUCUGGGUGGGUUAAAAGCUCCGGCGGUGAAGGAUGAGCCCGCGGCCUAUCAGCUUGUUGGUGAGGUAGUGGCUCACCAAGGCGACGACGGGUAGCCGGCCUGAGAGGGCGACCGGCCACACUGGGACUGAGACACGGCCCAGACUCCUACGGGAGGCAGCAGUGGGGAAUAUUGCACAAUGGGCGAAAGCCUGAUGCAGCGACGCCGCGUGAGGGAUGACGGCCUUCGGGUUGUAAACCUCUUUCAGCAGGGAAGAAGCGAAAGUGACGGUACCUGCAGAAGAAGCGCCGGCUAACUACGUGCCAGCAGCCGCGGUAAUACGUAGGGCGCANGCGUUGUCCGGAAUUAUUGGGCGUAAAGAGCUCGUAGGCGGCUUGUCACGUCGGGUGUGAAAGCCCGCGGCNUAACCCCGGGUCUGCAUUCGAUACGGGCUAGCUAGAGUGUGGUAGGGGAGAUCGGAAUUNCCU
rnacentral:rRNA from 1 species